rnacentral:rRNA from 1 species
CCUACGGGUGGCAGCAGUAGGGAAUAUUGCUCAAUGGGGGAAACCCUGAAGCAGCAACGCCGCGUGGAGGAUGAAGGUUUUCGGAUUGUAAACUCCUUUUGUUAGAGAAGAUAAUGACGGUAUCUAACGAAUAAGCACCGGCUAACUCCGUGCCAGCAGCCGCGGUAAUACGGAGGGUGCAAGCGUUACUCGGAAUCACUGGGCGUAAAGAGCGCGUAGGCGGGAUAGCAAGUCAGAUGGGAAAUCCUAGGGCUUAACCAUAGAACUGCAUUUGAAACUGUUAUUCUAGAGUAUGGGAGAGGUAGGUGGAAUUCUUGGUGUAGGGGUAAAAUCCGUAGAGAUCAAGAGGAAUACUCAUUGCGAAGGCGACCUGCUAGAACAUAACUGACGCUGAUGCGCGAAAGCGUGGGGAGCAAACAGGAUUAGAUACCCCGGUAGUC